rnacentral:rRNA from 1 species
UACGAAGGGGGCUAGCGUUGCUCGGAAUUACUGGGCGUAAAGCGCACGUAGGCGGAUCUUUAAGUCAGGGGCGAAAUCCUGGAGCUCAACUCCAGAACUGCCUUUGAUACUGAGGACCUUGAGUUCGGGAGAGGUGAGUGGAACUGCGAGUGUAGAGGUGAAAUUCGUAGAUAUUCGCAAGAACACCAGUGGCGAAGGCGGCUCACUGGACCGGUACUGACGCUGAGGCGCGAAAGCGUGGGGAGCAAACGGGG